AGCGAACGCUGGCGGCAGGCCUAACACAUGCAAGUCGAACGGAUCCUUCGGGAUUAGUGGCGGACGGGUGAGUAACACGUGGGAACGUGCCCUUUGGUUCGGAACAACUCAGGGAAACUUGAGCUAAUACCGGAUGUGCCCUUCGGGGGAAAGAUUUAUCGCCAUUGGAGCGGCCCGCGUCUGAUUAGCUAGUUGGUGAGGUAACGGCCCACCAAGGCGACGAUCAGUAGCUGGUCUGAGAGGAUGAUCAGCCACACUGGGACUGAGACACGGCCCAGACUCCUACGCGAGGCAGCAGUGGGUAAUCUUGCGCAAUGGGCGAAAGCCUGACGCAGCCAUGCCGCGUGAAUGAUGAAGGUCUUAGGAUAGUAAAAUUCUUUCAGCGGGGACGAUAAUGACGGUACCCGCAGAAGAAGCUCCGGCUAACUUCGUG
rnacentral:rRNA from 1 species